GACGAACGCUGGCGGCGUGCCUAACACAUGCAAGUCGAGCGAUGAAGUUCUUCGGAACGGAUUAGCGGCGGACGGGUGAGUAACACGUGGGUAACCUGCCUUGUAGAGGGGGAUAGCCUUCCGAAAGGAAGAUUAAUACCGCAUAACAUCUUUUUAUCGCAUGGUAGAAAGAUCAAAGGAGCAAUCCGCUACAAGAUGGACCCGCGGCGCAUUAGCUAGUUGGUGAGGUAACGGCUCACCAAGGCGACGAUGCGUAGCCGACCUGAGAGGGUGAUCGGCCACAUUGGAACUGAGACACGGUCCAGACUCCUACGGGAGGCAGCAGUGGGGAAUAUUGCGCAAUGGGGGAAACCCUGACGCAGCAACGCCGCGUGAAUGAAGAAGGCCUUAGGGUUGUAAAGUUCUGUUUACGGGGACGAUAAUGACGGUACCCGUGGAGGAAGCCACGGCUAACUACGUGCCAGCCGCCGCUGUAAGAC
rnacentral:rRNA from 1 species